rnacentral:rRNA from 1 species
CCUACGGGGGUCAGCAGUGGGGAAUAUUGGACAAUGGGCGAAAGCCUGAUCCAGCCAUGCCGCGUGUGUGAAGAAGGCCUUCGGGUUGUAAAGCACUUUCAGUGGGGAAGAAAGCCUUGGGGCUAAUACCCUCGAGGAAGGACAUCACCCACAGAAGAAGCACCGGAUAACUCCGUGCCAGCAGCCGCGGUAAUACGGAGGGUGCGAGCGUUAAUCGGAAUUACUGGGCGUAAAGCGCGCGUAGGCGGUCUGAUAAGCCGGUUGUGAAAGCCCCGGGCUCAACCUGGGAACGGCAUCCGGAACUGUCAGGCUAGAGUGCAGGAGAGGAAGGUAGAAUUCCCGGUGUAGCGGUGAAAUGCGUAGAGAUCGGGAGGAAUACCAGUGGCGAAGGCGGCCUUCUGGACUGACACUGACGCUGAGGUGCGAAAGCGUGGGUAGCAAACAGGAUUAGAUACCCGAGUAGUC